rnacentral:sRNA from 1 species
AAUCUUAAAUAUUCUGGAAUCUCAAAUAUAGCUAACAAGCACCCAAAUGGCAACAACGCCAAAUUGAUAAUAGGUUUUUACGAUCAAUUAAUACUAAAAUACUAUCCUGUCGUUGUAGUAUUUUAGGUGUCAUCCAUUUUAGGUGUGAUGCAAACAAAUGAGAUGUGAUCAGAAGUAACUAAGUCAAGCCAAGCAAUUAUAGAUUUUGGAGUAUCUAACAGUCCUAAAUGAAAAUGCAUGAAACAGAAUCACAAAACACUCGACCACAAUUGGCUGAUGCCAGUAACAGGGUGUGGUCAAGUAAGUAGUCGAGUAAAAUACAGAAAAUGUAGCAAUUAUACUC